GACGAACGCUGGCGGCGUGCCUAAUACAUGCAAGUCGAGCGGACUUUCAAGAAGCUUGCUUUUUGAAAGUUAGCGGCGGACGGGUGAGUAACACGUGGGCAACCUGCCUGCAAGACGGGGAUAACUCCGGGAAACCGGGGCUAAUACCGGAUAAUAUCUUCCUUCGCAUGAAGGAAGGUUGAAAGGCGGCGCAAGCUGCCGCUUGCAGAUGGGCCCGCGGCGCAUUAGCUAGUUGGUGAGGUAACGGCUCACCAAGGCGACGAUGCGUAGCCGACCUGAGAGGGUGAUCGGCCACACUGGGACUGAGACACGGCCCAGACUCCUACGGGAGGCAGCAGUAGGGAAUCUUCCGCAAUGGACGAAAGUCUGACGGAGCAACGCCGCGUGAGCGAAGAAGGUCUUCGGAUCGUAAAGCUCUGUUGUCAGGGAAGAACAAGUACCGUUCGAACAGGGCAGUACCUUGACGGUACCUGACCAGAAAGCCACGGCUAACUACGUG
rnacentral:rRNA from 1 species